UUAAGUUUAGCGGGUAUUCUUAUUUGAUUCGAGGUUAACCAUAGAAAAUUGGGGGUUGCUGGCUAGCAUCUACUGGGACUCAUAUGCGAGGGUAUAAUUACUACGCGUAGAGCUUGAUGGCGCCGCUACUGCUUUUAAGGCUAGCUGUCGCUGGCAGGGCCCAAGACUAAGCUGUGCUUGAGGGUUGAAAUAACGCUUGA
rnacentral:misc_RNA from 1 species